UGGGGAAUAUUGGACAAUGGGCGCAAGCCUGAUCCAGCCAUGCCGCGUGAGUGAUGAAGGCCUUAGGGUUGUAAAGCUCUUUCAGCGGGGAAGAUAAUGACGGUACCCGCAGAAGAAGCCCCGGCUAACUUCGUGCCAGCAGCCGCGGUAAUACGAAGGGGGCUAGCGUUGUUCGGAAUUACUGGGCGUAAAGGGCGUGUAGGCGGACUGUUAAGUCAGGGGUGAAAUCCCGGGGCUCAACCCCGGAACUGCCUUUGAUACUGGCGGUCUUGAGUUCGGGAGAGGUGAGUGGAAUUCCGAGUGUAGAGGUGAAAUUCGUAGAUAUUCGGAGGAACACCAGUGGCGAAGGCGGCUCACUGGCCCGAUACUGACGCUGAGGCGCGAAAGCGUGGGGAGCAAA
rnacentral:rRNA from 1 species